rnacentral:rRNA from 1 species
UACGUAGGUGGCAAGCGUUGUCCGGAUUUACUGGGCGUAAAGAGCGCGCAGGCGGUCGUUCAAGUCGCGUGUGAAAGCCCCCGGCUCAACUGGGGAGGGUCACGCGAUACUGAUCGACUCGAAGGCAGGAGAGGGUAGUGGAAUUCCCGGUGUAGUGGUGAAAUGCGUAGAUAUCAGGAAGAACACCCGUGGCGAAGGCGGCUCUCUGGGACGGUACUGACGCUGAGACGCGAAAGCGUGGGGAGCAAACAGG